AGAGUUUGAUCCUGGCUCAGGACGAACGCUGGCGGCGUGCUUAACACAUGCAAGUCGAACGAGAGCGUAGAGAAAGCUUGCUUUUUCUACAAUCUAGUGGCAAACGGGUGAGUAACGCGUAAACAACCUGCCCUACGGAUGGGGACAACAGCUGGAAACGGCUGCUAAUACCGAAUACGUUCCGAAAGUCGCAUGACUGUCGGAAGAAAGGAUGGCCUCUAUUUAUAAGCUAUCGCCGGAGGAGGGGUUUGCGUCUGAUUAGCUAGUUGGAGGGGUAACGGCCCACCAAGGCGACGAUCAGUAGCCGGUCUGAGAGGAUGAACGGCCACAUUGGAACUGAGACACGGUCCAGACUCCUACGGGAGGCAGCAGUGGGGAAUCUUCCGCAAUGGGCGAAAGCCUGACGGAGCAACGCCGCGUGAGUGAAGAAGGAUUUCGGUUCGUAAAGCUCUGUUGUUAGGGAAGAAUGAUUGUGUAGUAACUAUACACAGUAGAGACGGUACCUAACCAGAAAGCCACGGCUAACUACGUGCCAGCAGCCGCGGUAAUACGUAGGUGGCAAGCGUUGUCCGGAAUUAUUGGGCGUAAAGCGCGCGCAGGCGGAUUGGUCAGUCUGUCUUAAAAGUUCGGGGCUUAACCCCGUGAUGGGAUGGAAACUGCCAAUCUAGAGUAUCGGAGAGGAAAGUGGAAUUCCUAGUGUAGCGGUGAAAUGCGUAGAUAUUAGGAAGAACACCAGUGGCGAAGGCGACUUUCUGGACGAAAACUGACGCUGAGGCGCGAAAGCCAGGGGAGCGAACGGGAUUAGAUACCCCGGUAGUCCUGGCCGUAAACGAUGGGUACUAGGUGUAGGAGGUAUCGACCCCUUCUGUGCCGGAGUUAACGCAAUAAGUACCCCGCCUGGGGAGUACGACCGCAAGGUUGAAACUCAAAGGAAUUGACGGGGGCCCGCACAAGCGGUGGAGUAUGUGGUUUAAUUCGACGCAACGCGAAGAACCUUACCAGGUCUUGACAUUGAUGGACAGAACUAGAGAUAGUUCCUCUUCUUCGGAAGCCAGAAAACAGGUGGUGCACGG
rnacentral:rRNA from 1 species